UGAUAUGCCCGAAUCCGCGGAUUAAAAACCCGAUUUAACACAAUGAUAUUAAAAGGUAGCAACCAUAAUAUUGUCACAAUAUUUACCCAUUUAUAACAACAUAUGGGGGUGCAACUAGACAGCAAUAGGUGCAAAUGAAAGAGUCAGGUGGGCUUAAACAAGUAGUUUGGACUCAAGCCCAACAACCAAAUGUCAUCAUACCCAAUUGUACUAUAUAUAAAAAAAUAUAGAAUAAAA
rnacentral:lncRNA from 1 species